ACACACAAGCGGCUGGACGUUGACAGGAACACGUUGGCGUAAGACACAACGGCUGGACAUCGAGAGGAAUGCAGCGGCCUAACAGCACACACUGACAGACGCCGCAGGCCAGCAGGCCAUCAACCAGCGGAACAACGCACAGUUUGGCGGAUGGGAUAUCCUCUCCCAACCCAUCCAGCAACCUCUAUAACAGGGGUCCCCAAUCCCAGCGCCACGGACUAGUACCAGCUGGUGGCCUGUUAGGAACUGGGCCACACAGCAGAUAGGACCAUCUAGUUGCAGGAAAACAAGCUCAG